GUGCUGGCUUAGAUGGCACAUAUACUACUUUGGAAUGAUACAGAGAUUAACAUGACCACUGAACAAGGAUGAAAUGCAAAUUUCAGAAAUGUUCCAUGUUUUA
ensembl:snRNA U6 U6 spliceosomal RNA